GUCUUCUUGAUAUAAUAAGAAGUCUGACCUGCCCAGUGAAAUAUUUUAACGGCCGCGGUAUAUUGACCGUGCAAAGGUAGCAUAAUCAUUAGUCUUUUAAUAGAGGGCUGGAAUGAAGGGUUUAACGAAGUACUUACUGUCUCAUUUAAUUUGAUAUUAAAAUUUACUUUUUCAGUCAAAAAGCUGAAAUAUUAUUGGAAGACGAGAAGACCCUAUAGAGCUUUAUAUUUAAUUAUCUAAUAAAUUUUUGGAUUAAUUAUUAUUUAUUAUUUAAUAAAAUAUUUUGUUGGGGUGACAAAAAUAUAUAAUUAACUUUUUUAUUUAUAUAACAUUGAUAUAUGAAAAUUAGAUCCAGUUUUACUGAUUAUUAGAAUAAGUUACCUUAGGGAUAACAGCGUAAUCUUCCUUUAGAGUUCAUAUUCACAGGGAGGCUUGCGACCUCGAUGUUGGAUUAAGAUUAUAAUUAGGUGUAGCCGCUUAAAAAAUAGGUCUGUUCGACCUUUAAAUUCUU
rnacentral:rRNA from 1 species